GAAAAGGCGGCGAGCAAAAUAGGGAGAGAGUUGGGAGGGAGAGGAAGAGUGGGUAGGGCUGUCAACGAGCCGAACACGAAUUAGCUCAUUAAAAUAUUGAACUGAAAAAUCUAGCUCGUGUUCGGCUUAUUUAUUAACGAGCCGAACACGAGCUAACUUGGGAACAAGGAGUUAGAUUGUCAUCCCUACUACUGUAUAAAAGUUGGAAAAAAAAAUAAAAAAUUAGAAAACUUAAUCUAAU
rnacentral:lncRNA from 1 species